ACAAGCGGUGGAGUAUGUGGUUUAAUUCGAUGCAACGCGAAGAACCUUACCUGGUCUUGACAUCCCGGAGACCCUUAGGAAACUAGGGGUGCUUCCAUCUGGAAGAAUCUGGAGACAGGUGCUGCAUGGCUGUCGUCAGCUCGUGUCGUGAGAUGUUGGGUUAAGUCCCGCAACGAGCGCAACCCUUGCCUUUAGUUGCCAGCAGUUCGGCUGGGCACUCUAAAGGGACUGCCGGUGUUAAACCGGAGGGAGGUGGGGAUGACGUCAAGUCCUCAUGGCCUUUAUGACCAGGGCUACACACGUACUACAAUGGCCGAUACAAAGGGCAGCGACACUGCGAGGUGAAGCCAAUCCCGUAAAAUCGGUCUCAGUCCGGAUUGGAGUCUGCAACUCGACUCCAUGAAGUUGGAAUCGCUAGUAAUCGUGGAUCAGCAUGCCACGGUGAAUACGUUCCCGGGCCUU
rnacentral:rRNA from 1 species